GACGAACGCUGGCGGCGUGCCUAAUACAUGCAAGUAGAACGCUGAAGAGAGGAGCUUGCUCUUCUUGGAUGAGUUGCGAACGGGUGAGUAACGCGUAGGUAACCUGCCUGGUAGCGGGGGAUAACUAUUGGAAACGAUAGCUAAUACCGCAUAAAAUUGAUUAUUGCAUGAUAAUUAAUUGAAAGAUGCAACUGCAUCACUACCAGAUGGACCUGCGUUGUAUUAGCUAGUUGGUGAGGUAACGGCUCACCAAGGCGACGAUACAUGGCCGACCUGAGAGGGUGAUCGGCCACACUGGGACUGAGACACGGCCCAGACUCCUACGGGAGGCAGCAGUAGGGAAUCUUCGGCAAUGGGGUGAACCCUGACCGAGCAACGCCGCAUGAGUGAAGAAGGUUUUCGGAUCGUAAAGCUCUGUUGUAAGAGAAGAACGGGUGUGAGAGUGGAAAGUUCACACUGUGACGGUAUCUUACCAGAAAGGGACGGCUAACUACGUG
rnacentral:rRNA from 1 species